CAGGUGGGUGAUGGCUUCUGCUCCCCGCCACACUUUGUUAGUCCCUGCCAGGUGGCCCACGCCACCAGCCAUCAGCCUCCUGGGAGCUGCUUCCUGCUUGCCGACAACCAGGGCUUGUUGAGAAGAGGGAGAUGAGUCAGCAGAUUUGCCCAGCAUGAGGCUGGCCUGGUGCCAGCAUGUUGCCCUGCCUGGCUUCCACCUCCCAACUCCAUCAGUAACUGGCCAGCUGGGGUCAAGCCACUUCUCAGUUCCGGAAAUGAACUCAUUCCCUUUGGCUCCUGGGGAGACAGACAGCGGGCCAUGGGGGGCUGGUCUGAGGAAGGGCUGCCUCCUCCCCAGGACCUUGGGGAAAGGGGUUGGGGGCCUGGGCAUUGUGCGAGGAUCCCUGACUCACCCAUCUGACUCCACCUUUCAGGAAGGGCAGCUCCUGAUACGGCCCUUUUGCAGCCUGGGAGACCAGGGCUUCCUCCCACAGCUUUCUCGGCAAUAGCCGCUGCUCCAUCUGUGCCUCUUCUUGGCUGAGGUCCACAACUACCAAAGCCAGAUGUCUGAAGAAUUAAACGAUACUUCAGGCUCUUCAAGAAUCAGCUGGGGAGCUGACUAGAGUGGACGCUCUCCAUGCUUGGGGAGCGGGGGGGCCCUUGAGCCUUGUUUGGCGUGGUGCUCCUGCUGACUGAAGAAACCGCUGUCUUACCCCUGUUUUCACGGUCUGACCUGCAGAGUAGCAGCUUGUAGGUCCCCAUGAUGCUUUGCAGCUUCCCAUGGUUUCCCUGGUUGUGAAUUUGAGCUGCCCUUUUUCACAUACAGAGAUGUGUUCUUGUCCUUCAAGGCAAAAGCCCUGAAGACCUUGACUAUCGGGAGUCCGCCAGUUUGAAGAACAAUAAAGAGCAGCAAAUCGCCACCCAUGGUCAGGACAACAGCAGCUCCCACCCGGGGUCCCCGACUCAGACAUGAUCAGUUCCCUUGACAGGAGACUACAAAUGCUGGCAUUGUCAGCAAACAAGAAGACUUUCAAGGCUUCAGAUGGGCUGCUUUCCCUCCAGAAAUUAUACCAUAACUUCUCUUUAUGUUAUUAAUAAUGAUAAAUGCUAACAUAUUGAUAUGAAGUGAUGCUACAUCAUUGAUAUGUAUAUAUGAAAAUAUCUCAUUCAGUCUUUACAACACCCCGAGGAAGAAA